rnacentral:miRNA from 1 species
GUAGCACCAAUAGUGAUAGUUGUAGUGGCAUUAAUUGUUUCAACCAGAAAAAAAAUACCACAAUCAUUGCUUCUACAUCUACAACUACGGCUAC